rnacentral:sRNA from 1 species
AAUAGUUUAAUAGUAGCGCGGUCCCCAUACGGCUGUAAUCAGUGAAUUAGAAAAAAAACACCCUAGCAGCGAUAUUCUAUGAUAGAUUUUUUUUCCUCUGCGCUCGCCUUUUUCCUAGGCCUUGCCCCCCCCAAAGCCCCUCCAAAAGAGGGAACUUUUUCUCUGAGGGGGCUCCAAGGAGAAGGCCAUGAAUUACGAAUUUGAGCGAGAGAUUGGUUUUAUCAAUAGCCAGCCGUCGCUCGCUGAGUGCCUGACAUCUUUUCCCCCUGUCGCUGAUACAUUUCAAAGUUCAUCAAUCAAGACCUCGACGCUUUCACACUCGACACUGAUUCUUCCUCCUUUUGAGCAGACCAUUCCCAGCCUGAACCCCGGCAGUCACCCUCGCCACGGCGCUGGCGGCCGACCCAAGCCGAGCCCCGCGGGCAGCCGCGGCAGCCCGGUGCCCGCCGGCGCCCUGCAGCCGCCCGAGUACCCCUGGAUGAAGGAGAAGAAGGCGGCCAAGAAAACCGCACUUCUGCCGGCCGCCGCCGCCGCCGCCGCAGCCACCGGCCCUGCUUGCCUCAGCCACAAAGGUCAGUCCAAAGACUUGGCCCCAGGUCUCCAGGACCCUCUUCCUUCUCCGGGCUGCCCCGAGAGUGGCUGUGGGGGGAGGGGAGAGUGGGCUGAGAGAGAAGGAGGAGAGGGAGAGAUGCUUGGUUGCCUUGUCCCUGCCCCUGUGGGUUCAGGAGUGGGUUUGAUGGAGAGGAAAGGGGAUCCUGCGCUCUACAAUGAGACAUAUAUAUUUUUAGGAAGUGGGGGGAAACUUUCCCGAACUUGUGUAAUGUGGGAUGAUUUAUUUGAGUUGGAACUGACCUCCUCCUGUCUAGUUGUCCUAGAGUUUGGCUUUUUGACAGUAAUGAAGAGUGAUAGAUCGCUCUUGCUCAGCUAAGCAGCUGACGCAUUAAUUAUAAAUUGUGUUGUGGCUAAUAUAAAGUUUGCUCCCGGAUGAAGAGGUUGGGGGGAGCCACAGGCAUGAAUUCGAUAGAGGUGGAGGAGACGGGGUCUGCCCAGGCUGGGCUCCCAGGAAAGGCAGCACAAUAGCUCUACUGCAUCCAGGGGCGGCCAUUUUGUUGCAGUUGAUCUUUUCUGCUAUAUUUAUUCUCCAGUGGAAUAACCCCGCUCGGACCCCUCUACCUCCAACUGUGCGUGUGUCUCUUGUUGGUUUCCCUUUCCGCAGAAUCCCUGGAAAUCGCCGAUGGCAGCGGCGGGGGAUCGCGGCGCCUGAGAACUGCUUACACCAACACACAGCUUCUAGAGCUGGAAAAAGAAUUUCAUUUCAACAAGUACCUUUGCAGACCCCGAAGGGUGGAGAUUGCAGCGCUGCUGGAUUUGACUGAGAGACAAGUGAAAGUGUGGUUUCAGAACCGGAGGAUGAAGCACAAGAGGCAGACCCAGUGCAAGGAAAACCAAAACAGCGAAGGGAAAUGUAAAAGCCUUGAGGACUCCGAGAAAAUAGAGGAGGACGAGGAAGAGAAGACGCUCUUUGAGCAAGCCCUUAGCGUCUCUGGGGCCCUUCUGGAGAGGGAAGGCUACACUUUUCAGCAAAAUGCCCUCUCUCAGCAGCAGGCUCCCAAUGGACACAAUGGCGACUCCCAAAGUUUCCCAGUCUCGCCUUUAACCAGCAAUGAGAAAAAUCUGAAACAUUUUCAGCACCAGUCACCCACUGUUCCCAACUGCUUGUCAACAAUGGGCCAGAACUGUGGAGCUGGCCUAAACAAUGACAGUCCUGAGGCCCUUGAGGUCCCCUCUUUGCAGGACUUUAACGUUUUCUCUACAGAUUCCUGCCUGCAGCUUUCAGAUGCAGUUUCACCCAGUUUGCCAGGUUCCCUCGACAGUCCCGUAGAUAUUUCAGCUGACAGCUUUGACUUUUUUACAGACACACUCACCACAAUCGACUUGCAGCAUCUGAAUUACUAAAAACAUUAAAGCAAAACAAAGCAUCACAAAAC